GUCCCUGAAGCGCAGCGAAUAGCGCGCUGGACUUCUAAUUAAGAGGUAGCGGGUUUGAAUCCCGCCAGGGAUG